rnacentral:lncRNA from 1 species
AGUUUACAUAGCUCCCUAGCAAACUGAUUUUUUUUUUUAAUAGACAGGUGUUAAAAAGAGCACUUAGUCUCUCAUGGUGUGGGGACAAAACUACUAGUCAGUGUCUCUCCAGUAAGACUUCCAUUUACUUUGAACAGAUCUGAGCAAUGCUUGUGGCUUGUCUUUCUUUCUAAGAGGUUUACAAACUCCUCAUGGCUGGAGAGAAAAAUAAGGGCUGCAUUUGCUUUGCUCUCUGGCAGAUAUGACAGAGUGCUUCCUAAAGAAUAUUUACCAGACUUUCACUCCUAUUUCUAUGUUCAACUCCUGUCCUGAAAAGGUUUUGCAUCACGAAUUACAUGUCUGUGAGAGAGCACAUGGAGCAUUUAUUAUAUGAACAUGGGCUUUUUUUAUUGUUCAAAGCUUCCUCUAGAGAAGAGGGCCAUUAACCUUGACUGCUCCUCCUUUUAUAAAUAUCAGCCUGUUCACCAAAAUUACAUUGCAUCCUGGAAGCUCAGUGAAGCAUUGAACCCUAAAACAACUUAGCACGACCAAAACAUGGCAAGAAGCAGAAACUUGGAGGAUUUUAGUCAUGUCUGAUUGUCGUUUGUAAUGUCACAGUCAUUGCUUUGGCCAAGCUGGCAACACCUUGGAAGAUGACGAGGCAAUUUCUGGCAGAGGAACGCUGUUGAGGAUCAUCCUGUCUGCUGGGCUCAAUUUCAACAGGCUUUUCCCUGAUGUGAAUGCCUCUGGAAAUCCUGCCUACCACCAUGUUCCAGCUACCAAAGCAUCAUCAUGGCUUGGAGUGCUCUCACCAGCUGUGGUCUCAGUGUGGAAACACGUGGGAAGGGGUGAGAGAAUGCAGCAUGAGCUCCUGUCUGGUGAUAUAUAAUGGCUGGAGCACUUGUUGCUGCCCCGGCACCUCCUUGUCAUCUGCCUGGGCAGCUGAGAGAAGAGGAUUGGUUCAGCUACAGCCAUGUCUCUUUGGAGUGGGAAAGCCAGACUGGGAGAUGGGGAGUGAAAGGAGAGAGGGGCUGGCAGAGGCAGCUGUGCCUCUGGAGCCGGGAGCUCACGGCACCACUCCCAGCAGCCCGAUUGCCUCCAGUGCCCAGCCUUGCCAGCCUUGA